GUGCCAGCAGCCGCGGUAAGACGAACCGUACAAACGUUAUUCGGAAUCACUGGGCUUAAAGGGUGCGUAGGCGGCUCAGAAAGUUGGGUGUGAAAUCCCUCGGCUCAACCGAGGAACUGCGCCCAAAACUACUGAGCUCGAGGGAGACAGAGGUAAGCGGAACUUAGGGUGGAGCGGUGAAAUGCGUUGAUAUCCUAAGGAACACCAGUAGCGAAAGCGGCUUACUGGGUCUCUUCUGACGCUGAGGCACGAAAGCUAGGGGAGCGAACGGGAUUAGAAACCCCCGUAGUCC
rnacentral:rRNA from 1 species